GUUGUUUUCUCCUCAUACUGAAACUUCUGUUAAAUGAUGCAAUAAUUGGCCACUAAAUCAUACCUUUAAAAGAUAUAAAUAGUGGCCAAUAAUGCAUCUUCUAAAUUACAUUACAUGAAAUUACUAUAUAGCAGUUCUGAUUGAUACACAAAGAAGUUUCAGUAAGCAUAAAAUGUGGACUACUACUGUUUGAGUUUUUAUUGAUACCUCAGCUGAGUGAGACCGAUGAUUCGGGCAAAAUCAAAACUUGUAGCAGUAGUCUUCUAGAUCUUUUGUUUCAAGACGUGACGUAACUGGACCUUCUGGCUCUCCAUUCUUGCUUCCAGAAGUUUUGCUUUUAAACUGUGCUUGUGAGAGUUACGCGGCCACUCAAUGCACCCUUUCAUCCCUCGUGUUAUUUGUGGAUUGCCCGAGUCAAGUGAGCUCCCUGAAGGACUGAAUUCGCCUUUACUAGAACCACAAUCUGGAGAAAGGGUGGCACCAUUCGAUAGCCUUCCAUUUGAUAGCCUCCCGUGUAUUCCAUCAGCUGAUAUCUGUGGAUUGCCCGAGUCAAGUGAGCUCCCUGAAGGACUGAAUUCGCCUUUACUAGAACCACAAUCUGGAGAAAGGGUGGCACCAUUCGAUAGCCUUCCAUUUGAUAGCCUCCCGUGUAUUCCAUCAGCUGAUAUCUUUUUGUAGUUGUCUCCGUUUGAUUUCCAAAGCCUAGAUAUAGAUGACACCUUCUUAAGUUGUCGACCUUGCCCUGAAUAUACUUCACUUAUCUCCAUUGAGGCAUUGCUGUGCCUGCAGUUCUUGUUGACAGAACAGACGCUUCCUUCAGCAGAAUAACUAGAACCUUGCUCGUCGAGAUGGCUCACUGUUUCCCAUUCACUUCCUUCUUCCUCUAAAUCACUCUGAUUAUACGCAAGAGAAUGUCUGAGGAAGUUGUCUUUGUUGUAUACACCGUCAUCAGGACUGAAUGUGCAAAUUUUGGAGGGAUGGCUAGCAGAACUGUAUGCAGGACAUGGCUCAACCUCCCUUUCAUUACUUUCGACAAAAUUAAGGUCCUCAAACACUGAGAAUAUAUCAUCUGGAUUUGGAGGUUCAUAAGUGAACUCACU
rnacentral:misc_RNA from 1 species